rnacentral:lncRNA from 1 species
AGACUCCAGAAGCCACGGGAAGGAAGCAGAGGCCGAAAGGGGCUAGGCCCAGGGCGCCCGCCCUCUUUUCCUGGGCGCCCGCCCUGUCCUAGACUCCGUUCGGGACUCUCUUCGCACACGAUGUUCCACCGACCUAAAGGAUCAAGAAAAACAUAGUACCACAUCGCCUACCGACCCAAAAACGCAUAGAGGAGGAGGACUAUAUAAGGAGACCCCCUGGCCCCUGGAGGAGACAAGAAGUUAUCAUAGAGAUUGAGGGGUGCCCUCGAAGGAAAACCUCGUCUCUAAAUAAUAUUUCUUUUUAGGCUUAGCAACCAAUGUAAGUAGAAAUAGAUCUUCUAGUUUCUACUAUAUUGAGAGAGAUAGAGUGG